UACGUAGGGUGCGAGCGUUAAUCGGAAUUACUGGGCGUAAAGCGUGCGCAGGCGGUUUUGUAAGCCAGAUGUGAAAUCCCCGGGCUUAACCUGGGAAUGGCAUUUGGGACUGCAAGGCUGGAGUGUGGCAGAGGAGACUGGAAUUCCCGGUGUAGCGGUGAAAUGCGCAGAUAUCAGGAGGAACACCAAUUGCGAAGGCAGCUCGCUGGGACGUUACCGACGCUGAGACGCGAAAGCGUGGGGAGCAAACAGG
rnacentral:rRNA from 1 species